GCAGCCGCGGUAAUUCCAGCUCCAAUAGCGUAUAUUAAAGUUGUUGCAGUUAAAAAGCUCGUAGUUGAAUUUCGGGAUCAAUGUUUCGGUCAUGCCGUUGGUAUGUACUGAUAUUAUUGGUUUCUCACCUUCUAAAGAACCGUAAUGCCAUUAAUUUGGUGUCACGGGGAAUUAGGACUGUUACCUUGAAAAAAUUAGAGUGUUUAAAGCAGGCUCACGCUUGAAUACAUUAGCAUGGAAUAAUGAAAUAGGACAUCCGAUUCUAUUUUGUUGGUUUCUAGGAUCGAUGUAAUGAUUAAUAGGGAUAGUUGGGGGCAUUAGUAUUCAAUUGUCAGAGGUGAAAUUCUUGGAUUUAUUGAAGACUAACUACUGCGAAAGCAUUUGCCAAGGAUGUUUUCAUUAAUCAAGAACGAAAGUUAGGGGAUCGAAGACGAUCAGAUACCGUCGUAGUCUUAACCAUAAACUAUGCCGACUAGGGAUCGGAUGAUGUUAAUUUUUUAAUGACUCAUUCGGCGCCUUACGGG
rnacentral:rRNA from 1 species